GAUUUAUUGUUUUCUGCUAAAGAGUUUUUUUUUCUCCAUACAGUAGAAACGUAUGGGUCACCCAAAAUAGAGACAACAGGCUGGGAAGCUGCAUACAUCACUCUUGGUGUUCUUUUCCUUGUUGUGGUGAUAUUUUUAUCUUCAUUCUAUGGAAAAGGACAAUGUUUCCGUCCAUCCUGUCUUCAUGACUGAAAGGAUCGCUGAGCUGUUAUAUUGCUAAGUAACAGG